GGGCCCGUAGCUCAGCCAGGUAGAGCGGCGGGCUUUUAACCGCGUAACGGGUUGCGGGAAGCAACCCGUAGGUCCCGGGUUCAAAUCCCGGCGGGCCCG
rnacentral:tRNA from 2 species